rnacentral:lncRNA from 1 species
CUAAUUGGCGUAACUAAAUGGUGGUCAAGUCAUGGUGGAUUCACACCAUUAGUAAGUUUCACAAAAUCUCCCAAGAUUGCGAUAUUUACACCUGUAUAUGUGCAACAUUGAUGAGAAUGAUAACCUACGUUACAUGGAAACGGAAGCGGGUACGUGGAAGCGGAAGCGUAAAGAAGCGCAGAAGCGAGAUUUUUUAAAAUAUUAGGAAGCGGGUACGUGUUGGAAGCGUAUAUCCAUAUAUAAAUAAAUACAAGGUUCCGAUUCCGAUUCCGGUUCCGAAGCGGGAAGCGGACGUCCGAUGAAGCUUCCGUGCAACGUAGAUGAUAACAAUAGUUUGGAAAUGUUUUACUCAGUCUAAUAACCUUUGAAUAAUCAGAGGAAAUUCCAAAGAAACUAUAUAAAGAGAUAUCUACAAUUUAGGUAAGAAUAUAAAUACUUACCAUUCUCUCCGUAAUUUAAUGCACAACGAUGGAUUUCUUUCCUCUGCUGAAUAACGUCUUCUUCAUUGAAAAGCUGUUAUAAAUGCAGUUCAAGCGUUUCCGAUUUUCUUCUAAUAAUGGCAUUAAUCAAAUCUUGUAAUAUUAGUCAAUACCAAUCAAUCAAGUUUUAUCUUUUUAGUCCUCUUAUCAUUAUCAUUGUCCUCUCGCCCUCCAUUUUGGUGAGAGCUUUAUAUUUCAAUACUGGUUGAUGAUCUUAAAGUC